ensembl:rRNA 5S_rRNA 5S ribosomal RNA
GCUUACGGCCAUACCACCCUGAACACGCCCGCUCUUCUCUGACCUCGGCAGCUAACCAGGGUAGGGCCUGGUCAGUACUUGGAUUGGAGACAUCCUGGGAAUACCAGGUGCUGUAAGCU